rnacentral:rRNA from 1 species
AACGAACGUUGGCGGCGUGGAUUAGGCAUGCAAGUCGAGCGAAUCCCCGCAAGGGGGGAAGCGGCGAAAGGGGCAGUAAGGCAUGGGUAACCUACCCUGGGGACUGGGAUAGCCCUUCGAGAGAAGGGGUAAUACCGGGCGACGUGACGGAGAGGCAUCUCUUUGUCACCAAAUGAAUUUCGCCCUGGGAGGGGCCCAUGUGAUAUUAGCUAGUUGGUGAGGUAACGGCUCACCAAGGCGAAGAUGUCUAGCGGGUGUGAGAGCACGACCCGCGCCACUGGCACUGAGACACUGGCCAGACACCUACGGGUGGCUGCAGUCGAGGAUCUUCGGCAAUGGGCGCAAGCCUGACCGAGCGACGCCGCGUGUGCGAUGAAGGCCUUCGGGUUGUAAAGCACUGUCGAGAGGGAGAAAAGCGAAAGCUUGAUCUAUCUCUGGAGGAAGCACGGGCUAAGUUCGUGCCAGCAGCCGCCGUAAGAC